UGGCGGACGGGUGAGAAACGCGUGGGUAACCUGCCUCAUACAGGGGGAUAACAGUUGGAAACGACUGCUAAUACCGCAUAAGCACACAGUGCCGCAUGGCACGGUGUGAAAAACUCCGGUGGUAUGAGAUGGACCCGCGUCUGAUUAGGUAGUUGGUGAGGUAACGGCCCACCAAGCCGACGAUCAGUAGCCGACCUGAGAGGGUGACCGGCCACAUUGGGACUGAGACACGGCCCAAACUCCUACGGGAGGCAGCAGUGGGGAAUAUUGGACAAUGGGGGAAACCCUGAUCCAGCGACGCCGCGUGAGUGAAGAAGUAUUUCGGUAUGUAAAGCUCUAUCAGCAGGGAAGAAAAUGACGGUACCUGACUAAGAAGCCCCGGCUAACUACGUGCCAGCAGCCGCGGUAAU
rnacentral:rRNA from 1 species